UGAACGCUGGCGGUAGGCCUAACACAUGCAAGUCGAACGGCAGCACAGUAAGAGCUUGCUCUUACGGGUGGCGAGUGGCGGACGGGUGAGGAAUACAUCGGAAUCUACUUUUUCGUGGGGGAUAACGUAGGGAAACUUACGCUAAUACCGCAUACGACCUACGGGUGAAAGCAGGGGAUCUUCGGACCUUGCGCGAUUGAAUGAGCCGAUGUCGGAUUAGCUAGUUGGCGGGGUAAAGGCCCACCAAGGCGACGAUCCGUAGCUGGUCUGAGAGGAUGAUCAGGCACACUGGAACUGAGACACGGUCCAGACUCCUACGGGAGGCAGCAGUGGGGAAUAUUGGACAAUGGGCGCAAGCCUGAUCCAGCCAUACCGCGUGGGUGAAGAAGGCCUUCGGGUUGUAAAGCCCCUUUGUUGGGAAAGAAAAGCAGCAGGUUAAUACCCCGCUGUUCUGACGGUACCCAAAGAAUAAGCACCGGCUAACUUCGUG
rnacentral:rRNA from 1 species